CCUCAGUCGAGGAUAUGUGACAAGUCUGUUUAGAUAGAUGAGCUCUCUAGUAUGUCUCUAUGGUCAUCCCUCAGUCGAGGAUAUGUGACAAGUCUGUUUAGAUAGAUGAGCUCUCUAGUAUGUCUCUAUGGUCAUCCCUCAGUCGAGGAUAUGUGACAAACUGACCUGAACAGCAGUCCAUGGUGAACUAUCAAUGUCUUUGGCCAGUGUCACCCAGAUACUAUCCCUCCAGCUAGCAACCAUGUAGUGGCCCACUGGCGGCCCACAUCUGACAUAGUUAGCAGUCCACAGCUGGUAAACCACUUGUCAGUGUCCAACCAUGUAGUGGCCCACAUCCGACAUAGUUAGCAGUCCACAGCUGGUAAACCACUUGUCAGUGUCCAAUCACGUUCUUCAGGAAGUCCUUAAUACUUUUCCUUCAGAUAAAGUGACUGACUCUAAAAGAGAACAAAAUGACCUCCACAUUUAUGAUCUUACAACAUCACCGAGGGAAACAGGGAGAAGAUUGUUUUGGCAAAUUAGAUUUUUUUGGUGAAAUGUGUAUGAAUGACAUUGUAUUGUGUGUAUAGCUAUUUGUUAAUAUAAGCCUAUAUAACUAGUCAAGGAGAGGUGGUCUUUCCAGUGAUACACAUUGCACCUCAUCCACCUUGAUAAUUCAUUGAUAAUUAGAAUCCUCAACUUUCAUAUAAUCACCUGUUUAUACGAGUAGCAUUACCUUUUUCUGUCAACCACUUACCCAGCAUGCCACAGCCACAACGCUACAGAGACAACAGCGAAGACAUCUCAGCCGGCCUGACAAGACAUCAACAAUUGCACUAUCAUCCGAGACGCGUACCUGACGCCACACAAACACAGCAGCACAAGAGUUGAGCACACAGCACCCCUGAAUGAAUACGGGGGGAUUCACAGGCCACCAUCCAGAAAGAGGAUGACGUAGCUACAUGUUUAGAGGGGAGUCUAAACACUGGGUGACAGCUCCGACUGAAGCAGGGUGCAGGUACAGCAACACAAAGGCUUUGGAAGAGACGCUGUUGGUGGAUUAUGUACAUGGGCCUAACCUCAGUCCUUUACAUGGACAUUAUUACAUACAUGUAUGUCCUAAAUGGCACCCUAUUCCCUAUAUACUAUAUAGUGCACUACUCUAGACCAGAGCCCUAUUCCCUAUAUAGUGCACUACAUUAGACCAGAGCCCUAUUCCCUAUAUAGUGCACUACAUUAGACCAGGGCCCUAUUCCCUAUAUAGUGCACUACAUUAGACCAGGGCCCUAUUCCCUAUAUAGUGCACUACUCUAGACCAGAGCCCUAUUCCCUAUAUAGUGCACUACAUUAGACCAGGGCCCUAUUCCCUAUAUAGUGCACUACUUUAGACCAGGGCCCUAUUCCCUAUAUAGUACUACAUUAGACCAGAGCCCUAUUCCCUAUAUAGUACACUACUUUAGACCAGGGCCCUAUUCCCUAUAUAGUACACUACUUUAGACCAGGGCCCUAUUCCCUAUAUAGUACACUACUUUAGACCAGGGCCCUAUUUCCUAUAUAGUACACUACUUUAGAGUAGGGCCUGUAGCCUAUAUAGUACACUACUUUAGACCAGGGCCCUAUUCCCUAUAUAGUACACUACUUUAGACCAGGGCCUGUAGCCUAUAUAGUACACUACAUUAGACCAGGGCCCUAUUCCCUAUAUAGUACACUACUUUAGACCAGGGCCU
ensembl:lncRNA